GCCGGCAGUGGCGUAGCGGGUAAAUCUACGUUCUGGCGCACUGUAGGGGUGCCCGGGUUCGAAUCCCGGCGCUGGCA